rnacentral:rRNA from 1 species
UGCCAGCCGCCGCGGUAAUACGGAGGGUGCAAGCGUUGCUCGGAAUCACUGGGCGUAAAGCGAGCGCAGGCGGCCCAACAAGUCGAAUGUGAAAGCCCAGGGCUCAACCCUGGAACUGCAUUCGAAACUGUUGAGCUUGAGUACGAGAGAGGAAGGCGGAAUUCCCGGUGUAGAGGUGAAAUUCGUAGAUAUCGGGAGGAACAUCUGCGGCGAAGGCGGCUUUCUGGCUCGAUACUGACGCUCAUGCUCGAAAGCGUGGGGAGCAAACAGGAUUAGAUA